rnacentral:rRNA from 1 species
GCGUUGUCCGGAAUUAUUGGGCGUAAAGAGCUUGUAGGCGGUUUGUCGCGUCUGCUGUGAAAGCCCGGGGCUUAACUCCGGGUCUGCAGUGGGUACGGGCAGGCUAGAGUAUGGUAGGGGAGACUGGAAUUCCUGGUGUAGCGGUGAAAUGCGCAGAUAUCAGGAGGAACACCGAUGGCGAAGGCAGGUCUCUGGGCCAUUACUGACGCUGAGAAGCGAAAGCAUG